GUGGGGAAUUUUGGACAAUGGGCGCAAGCCUGAUCCAGCAAUGCCGCGUGCAGGAAGAAGGCCUUCGGGUUGUAAACUGCUUUUGUACGGAACGAAACGGUCCUGGUUAAUACCUGGGGCUAAUGACGGUACCGUAAGAAUAAGCACCGGCUAACUACGUGCCAGCAGCCGCGGUAAUACGUAGGGUGCGAGCGUUAAUCGGAAUUACUGGGCGUAAAGCGUGCGCAGGCGGUGCUGUAAGACAGGCGUGAAAUCCCCGGGCUUAACCUGGGAAUUGCGCUUGUGACUGCAGUGCUGGAGUGCGGCAGAGGGGGAUGGAAUUCCGCGUGUAGCAGUGAAAUGCGUAGAUAUGCGGAGGAACACCGAUGGCGAAGGCAAUCCCCUGGGCCUGCACUGACGCUCAUGCACGAAAGCGUGGGGAGCAAACAGGAUUAGAAACCCUGGUAGUCC
rnacentral:rRNA from 1 species